rnacentral:misc_RNA from 1 species
UGUGCUCCAUUCCAUUGCUACGACUUGCAUCCCUUUUCUCAUGUCAAAUGAAUCAUCAUUCAAUUCUUAAAUGCCCUUCAGCUGCACAAUUUAACAGUGCAAGCCACAGCCUGUGCCCAAAAUUUGAGCCUUGCUUUAACAUCUUCCGGAUGGUCACCAGGAGUAGAGAUCUUCCAGUUAGCAAUAGGAUUAGAUGCACUCUCAGCAGUAGUAGGAGAGCUUCUCUCAGGAGACUUAUGGUGCUCAUCAAGCAACUUCUGACUCAUGGAAUAACA